UGAACAUUCCUUGCUUUCCUUGUCUUCUGUAUAAAAACCUGGAUUCCCUAUUCCUCCGCUAAGGAAAAGAAAAGGAAAACAUUUCUUCCUUCGAUCUUCCUAAAGUGAGCAUGUCGUAGAAAAUUAGCUUUUGCCCUUCUCAAAUCUUCGUCUCCUUUUUCCUCUCCUUCUUCCAUCUAACUCCCUCCUUUACCAAUUACAUACAAAGGAAAGGAAAGUACAGGAAAGGGACUUUCCUUCCUUUGAUCCAAGAACCAGACUCAUUCCCAUCCAUCUUCAAGAUACCGGGAUUCAACUGAGAUGGCAACCUGUCCCCGAGGCUCCAUCACCUACAACGCCACUUUCUGCGCGUGCCCACCUGGCCGCCUUCUCAACCGCACCUCCAACACCUGCUCUCUGUUCACUGCUAGCUCUGCCAUUUACACCGAAACUGGAAUUGCCUACUCCGUGUCCUUCCCGGAGACCAUCUUCUCUUUUGAUUCUAUCAAGAAGUUUACUCAGUCGCAGGCAGUUUUCUUGGAAGCUACUUUAGUUAUGCUGCUCUCUUGGCUUCUCUUUUGCUUCUUCUUGAGGUGUAGGAAGCUUGGCGAUGGUAGAAAUGUUUGGUUCAAUAUUAGGUGGUGGAUUAGUCGUUUGGAUGUUUGCUUUGCCACUAGGCAUUGGCUGGAUGAUCAGCAGGUGGUUGUGAAGCGAAAAACAGAACUUGGUGGAACUUUUUCAAUGGCAAGUUGGAUACUUUUCAUUGGUCUGUUUGCUGCGUUGCUUUACCAAAUCAUAUCAAAGAGAACCAUUGAGGUGCAUAAUGUGAGAGCAACAAAUGCACCCGAUUUGGCUUAUUUUGUCAAUGACAUGGAAUUUAAUGUAACCACCAUUUCUAGUAUGAGCUGUUCAAACUUGCAUGGUCUUGGUAAUUUAGUUACAGGGAAUCCUGGCUUUAUUGACCACAGGGUUGUCAGUCUUACAGAUUUAGUUAACUACACCUGCCAGAACACAAGUACAGGGCCAACUCUAAGUUUUAAGUGUAACAACUGCAGAUUCAAUAAAGAUUUUAUGUAUAUUUCCUGGCAAUUUAUUGAUCUUCCAAACGUUCCUGCCAGUGCUGUUGGUUUUCAGUUCAACCUUACCAUAAGAAAUCAUGUCGAUAAAAGGCAUACGAGUUUUGUUAGUGGUACACUAAAAAAUGGAAGUGCAUUUGAUGAUAGACCAGUUACAUUCAGAGGGAGGGAUCCAAAUGUAUUGAAAUUUAAUCUAUUUCCUCAAAUAUACCAUAAUCUGCAUGGUCUAAGGCUCAUCCAACCUCUAUUUCAUGAGUUUGUUCCGGGUUCAUUUUCUCGUGAUGCAACACAUCUCCAAGCCUCCCUUCAAACUUCCACUGAUGGACUAAUCAACACCACGCUGUACGUCAACUACCUCUCUGCCUAUCUUGUUGAGAUUGAACAACAAAACAUAAUGGGUCCUGUGAGCUUCCUUGCAGAUCUUGGUGGUCUAUAUUGCAUUAGUAUUGGCAUAUUUUUCUACUUCUUGGUGCAAGUAUGAUCCUUAUUCCUUUACAGAUGUCCUUUUGUCCUUUAUAUCAUCUGUUUUGAUAUAAUAAUUUAAGAAAUCCAGUGGAAGAAGAAAAUUGUUAUUCUUAAGUGCACAUGCAUGCAGAUGUAAUGUAUGUGUCUAAAUUCUUAAAAAGUUAAAGCAUGCAUUGUGCAAUUAUUAUGUCAAAGGAAUUAUUAGGACUUGAUCUUCAAGGUCAACACGAGGUUCCAACAGAUUACUUUAUAUUGAAUCCUUUGUCUGCCAUUGGCAUAGCACAUGAAACAUAAGCAUUAUGUUAUGGUGAUGAAAUUGAAAAGGUGGUUGUAGUGAGAGCAGCAGAAUGGUAGUUUUGGUGGUGCAUUUUUGAAGGCAUGAUGUUUGGAGAUGGUUAAGUCAAAGAGUGCUGAAGAGCACUUAUAGCUUAAAGAUUCCGUGAAGAGGCUCCAACAAGUAAAUGUAAGCAUCUUAAAUUUGUAAUGUAUUGCAAUUUCUGCAAUUGCUGAUUGUCAGAAAAUGCAAUGUAUGUGCUCCACAUAAUGCCAGAGCUGGAAGUGGUAAAACUAGUGUUGUAAGUGGCCAUGCAGUUUCACAGUCACGAUGGAUUGAGGUGUGUUGUAAACUUGUAAUGUAGUGAUUAGAGUCUCAUGAUGGUGGUGGCAAAUUUAUGCUCAAUUUUAAAGAUAACUCUUCAUGGUAGAUGUAAUAUCUAUUAUCAGAAACUAAAAUACUAUGGUGUAGAAAGAUGCUUGAAAAUGUAAGAAUAAGUUCUUAUUUUAGUCUGUGGAUGAUUGUAACUGAACUACGAUGAAAAGUAAAGUUACCAGAGGAAUACAAGUUAUCUUAUAUUAUUGUUACCUGCUUGGUUGUAGUGCGAGUACAGAAUCAAAAAACUUCGCAAUGAAGAUAGCACCAUGCGAAACAUAAGAAAUCGGCUAAAAGCUCAAAAACGUUGGGAUAAAGUGAGUGCCUUUCUGAGGAAGCAGCUUGUUUUCUGCAUUGGCAAGUUUUACAUUGAGAUUCAAUUUUUAUUUUUGGGUCCGGUAAUUUACCUAACUGAUAUAUGUUUAUAUUAUUCCAAUAACUAGUUGAGGAAAUAUGUAAUGUACACAUGGGGUUGCAGCAAAUGGGCCGAUGACCUUGAGAGCAGCAAACAUGGAUCUAGUUGCAGUUGUUUCGUGGCACCAUCUGUUCGUGGCAAUGGAUCACUAUCAUCACGGAAGAGGGUGUCACAAAGGAGAACAGAUAGUAUCCAUUUGAACAGAAGAGUUAGCAUACCUAGUGAAAUGAAUGUUGUUGAAGGACACACCGAUACACAGGGAGUGAAAUCAUCUGUGGCAGGAUGCACAUUGAACUCUGAAGGGAUAUUUUCUGAUUCAGGGGGACAGCGUUCUGUGAAAGGUGAAGUUUUUGGCUCUACAAAUGAUGUAACUCAGCAUUCAGUUGGUUUAUGUGAGGGAGAUACUUCACAGUCUCAACCCCAUUCAAUUACUGAUGAUAAUGCCAUUCCUUUGCCACCUCCAAUAGAAUUCAAGGGUGGAUCUGUGCUAGAGAUUUCUGAUAUCCAGAAGAAUCUGCAGAAUUUGUACAACUACAAUGUCAUUCUAAGGGAAAAACUUCUUACUACUCAAUCAUUGCUUCAUACUUUAACAUCAAAAUCUUCUACUUCCUUGUCAGGGAGCCAAACAUAGCUUAGUGAAGUUAAAAAGCAAGUUAAAUACCACGCUGCUCACUCUACUAUCAGAGUUGGUCAAAAGUGUCUGGAAAUGUCUAAAGAGUUGGUCCUCAGAGAAAUGUCUAUUAAUGGCUAGAGCAUCAGGCCCAUCCUAUAUUACCUUGCGUGGAUAACACUGCAGCCAAAACCUGGCUAUUUUUGAUGCUAAUGUUUCAAGGAUCAAAGGUUGAAACUUGCAGAGUACAGGAAUUGGGUUUGUCAAGGAACAUGGUCUUUUCUUUGAUGGUACACAUGGGCAAUUUUUGGGGGAGGGGGUUGGAUAGUAGAGCUUUUUUAUUAAUUUAUUAAUCUUUUUUUUUUUUACUGGUUGGAUGAUUUAUAGGGCACUAUUUGCUGUUGUGGAACAAUGAUUCCCUCUUGCAUAUAUGAGAGGGGGGGAAGGGGAUCACUGAUGUGGGGAAGGUGCGUUGAUUUUGUAAUCGUAUGUAGUUAGGUUUUUUCUGGUUGCAUAUUCUUUUGUGAGAUUUAAUAUUUCAUUCUUUCAAGUUUCUU
rnacentral:misc_RNA from 1 species